GGGUGUGAAACUCUACCUGGAUCAGCUUUGAUCUCAGGCUUUGCUGUGCAGUGCUCCUCCUCCCUUUCAGCGCUGCUUUUUAAAGUUGGUUGUGGUCAUGUCGGAGCUUUGCUGCCCUUGGACACCUGCACGGCCAAACUUCCAUUCUUGGGGGGGGGUGUGUUUCCGUGUGGCAUUGAAGGUUUUGGGGUUUUUUUGCAUCCUUGCAGCUAUUUCCAGCAAACAACGCUCUGACUAAGCGUUGGGGGUGAGGGGGGGAAGCGCUGAUCUUAAAUCCGAGUAAGAACAGUGAGUAACUAUUGAGGGUGCAAUAUUGCGGAUGUCUGCAUAGGAAUUCUUUGUAUGCAGCGGCGCUUUCCGUGAACCCGUUAGUUAGGGUGAUGCAAAAACUAUUACUAAAGAAAAGCUAUUUUGAUUUCUAAAUUAUUGGUUAUUCGUGUUAACCCUGUAAAAAGCAUAUGGACUUGAAAUUAAUUGCUCUCUGAAACAAGCUGUUCAACUUCAGGUGAGGUGCUUGCUUUCAAAAAAAGGUAUGAAAGGAUAUGUUUGCAAGCUGAGGGUAUCCCAAUGUGGAUUUCUUUUUGAAAAGCUUAUAAGGAGAUUGCCCCCCCCCCAAUAAAUGGUUUAUAAAUAUUGUCUGUUAAAAGAGCCAGAAUCCAUUGAUUGUCUGAAUAGCUAGGAAAUAACCAAAGAGCAUGCAUUCUGAGAUUUGUUUACUUUCUUAACUUUCCUCCAUAAAUAAAUGGGGAACCUCUAAUGAGAGAGAAAGCCUAGAUUGUUUAUGUACUCUGUUACUGGUUAAUUUUUCAGCCCGAAUUAGAACCAAACCUAGAUCCUUAUAAAAUGGUAAAAUAUAGAUGGAUUUGUUCUAUGUAUCCCAGGAUUGUCAGAAGGCAGAGGACCCUCCCAUGUUCUGCCACCAGUGGUGGGUUUCAAAAUUUUUUACUACCGGUUCUGUGGGUGUGGCGGGGUGGGCAUGGCAUGGCUUGGUGGGUGUGAAGGGAAGCAUACUGUAAAAUCUCCCUUCCCAAUCCAAGCGAGGGUUACUGCAAAAUCCCCAUUUCCUACCCAUCAGCUGGGACUUGGGAGGCAGAGAAUAGAUGGGGGCGGAGCCAGUCAGAAUUUUUACUACCGGUUCUCCAAACUACUCAAAAUUUCCGCUGCCAGUUCUCCAGAACUGGUCAGAAUCUGCUGAAACCCACCUCUGCCUGCCACCCCAUUCCUUUUGUGAGUCCCAGAGUAAGUAGGGGCAACAUUGUGGUAACCUUUUUACAUUUGGAAGGUACAGCAGGUAAAAUUUGUGUCUAAAGUCUUGGAGAGACUUAGGGUUCCCAUUUCAUAUCUUAAAACACUUAAAAUCCCAACCAGAAAUGAGUUCUGAUUCUUUCCACUUAAGGAGUAUGACACACAUCCACACCCCAAUUCACAAAAAUGUUUGUGUGUGUGUGUGUAUGAAAUUUGUAGGAUAACGUGUUGAUUUAUCCCAUAUUAUUGUGAGUUUCCAUUUCAAUUUCUCAUUAAAGUAGGAACAAAUCAUUUGUAGAUUUGUUUCUUUGUUAUACCAACUUUCCUUAGAGUAAUUGCAUUAUCAAUGAUUGUGAAAGAGUGUUAGUCAGAUAUGAAACUUAAAAAUACUUUGUACUUAAGCAAAUUGUGGUUUUAAAGCUGUUAUACUUGGCUGGAAGUACAUCCUAUUUUGCAAUUAAUUGAGAUUACAUCUAGGCCUCAGUCUUUAUUAGAUUGAUAACUUUGUGAGAACCACAAACCACUUAAACCAAAAGACAGGCAUGUAAGGUUUCCACUUGAUGCAACUUAUCCUAUGACCAGAAAAGCAAAGGAUUCAAAACAAGAUUAAAACAAAAUGGUCUAAAGAACUAACAGGGAAUUCACAGUGUCUUUGUCCCCAGGUCUUUGAGAACAAUCAAGUCUUCAAUAAUUUCCUAAAUAACUUAAGAGUGGGAAUCACAUGAAUUCUCCAAAGGAUAGAAAUUGUAGCUGAAUAGGCACACUUCCUUAGUUCUACAAGAUGUCAUAAUUGGACAUACCCACCCUGCGAAUGGACAUGGAUGCAGAGAAGUCCUAUAUAUGCCAGCUCAGAAAUAAAUUCCUUUAUUCCAAGCAACUUACUUUCAAAUUAAGAUGCUACAGGAUUUCAGCUUUCAUUGUCUCUUCAGUGCAGCACCAGAAAAUAUUUUUGAAUAUUUCUCCUUCAAAUGUUUUUUCAAGGAGGAAAAGAAAAUACACAAUUUGUUGUCUAUGCUGUGUUUUGUGCAAUAUGUUUAUCACACAGUAGAUUUUUAUGUGACAGUAUUGGAAAUUAAACAUAUAUAAAGAGCACAUAAAAGUAUAGAUGAGAUAGAGAUCCUGUGUUCCAAAAUGAUCAGUGUAUUUCCAAUGUUAAUUUUUCUAACAGUUCUUUGUAAACUGGGAACUAGUAUGUAAGUAAACCUACACUGACUCUUUCCUUCAAAUAUGCCAUCAAUUUCAGCUACUAUAAUUAGCUUAUGUUAGUUAGGCCAAGAUUUCUUACUCAUAACGUUAAAUCAUCAUAUUCCCCUAAAUCAGUAACAAUAAUAUCACUUAACAAGAGUGGAUUUGAAAUCUCUGGGUGGUUCAUAUUUAUAGCACUUUCUUUGAGUAGCGCUCUUUGAUACAUUUAGGAUUCACAGAAAUGGUACAACUGUAACCAAUCAUUAUCAGUAAAAUAUAAUUUUAAAACAAGUUUAAUAAUAUAACAGCAGUGUAGAAGUACUACAUAUAUUGACUCAGUGACCUGAAAGAAUCUAGUACAGUGAUGGUAAACUUUUUCAGCACCGAGUACCGAAAAGGUUGCGCGGAAAUGUCACACACGUGUGCUUGUUGGGACCAUGCUCUAGAAAAGCCGAACUUCUGGAUUCCAGUGCGCAUGCGUGCCUGACGAUCAGCUGGCAAGCAUCAGCAGGCCGAUUUUCAGCACUACCGCGUGCAUGAAGGAUCACUCCAGAAAAGCCAAACUUCCAGGUUCUGGCGCACAUACGCACCUGACAAUUAGCUGGCCGGUCUGCAUGCGCAUGCCAGUUUUCUGCACUCCCGCAUAUGCAAAGGACAGCUGAUCAUCAUGCACACACAUGCGCACUAGAAACCCGGAAGACAAACAGGCAAGGCUGUGCAUGCCGGGCGACACCGCUUUGCGUGCCACUUUGGGCACAUGUGCCAUAGGUUCGCCAUCACGGAUCUAGUAGAUUAAAUGUCAGUAGAAAUGAUAGAAAUAAAAGAAGAAAACUAGAUAGCUCUAGCAUUGGACGGUGGUUAAAAAAAAAAGAUAUUUUCCCCACUUGUAAUUACACUGUCCCACAGAACCCCUAUUGCCCUCUCACAGAAUGCCAGUUGAGAAGAACUAUUAUAGCGGGUGCAUUACAUUAAUUAAAAACGAAAACAUAAUAUGGAGAUAACCUUCAAGAAAGUCUGCAACAAUAAUUACAGCUCAGACCAGAAAGACAGGACAGGAUGAGAAGGAAUUUUUGUCUCUUUCCUGACCAAGCCCAGAAGAAGUGAGAGCUUAAAACUGGUUUGAGUCAAACCUGGUGACCUUGGGCACAGCCUCAUAUUUUUCUUGCCAAGCCUGUGUGAAUGAUUGUGCCUUUUGACACCUUCUGGGAUACUUUUUCAUCUUUCUAAUCUAGCCUAACUUUUCUUGAUGGCUUCCAUCCAUACAUUAACUAGUAGGUGUGUCUGCAGGGGGGCAAGCAACAACAGUAGUGUUGUACUGGUGUGCCACAAGCUUUGUCCAUUUGAGCAUACAAAAGAGCCAGGGCUUGCAGUUGAUGCUACUGUCAUCAUUUUGACAAGUACAGCAAAUCCUGUAGACAUCUUUGCCAUCUAGUUCCAGAUCUGUUUGGCACUUUGAGAUUCUCCAAGGUCACUUAGGUGUUGUUUCGUACCUUUGGAAACAAAACCAAAUAAUCUUAAGAAGGAAAUCACAGUUUGUUAUGAAUCAUUAACUUGCCACUGAGGCCAUUUGUUAAAUGGAUGGCCAAGGUAAAACUUGAACAAUGGACUUUGCAUCAUUUGUUCUGGGAUGCAAGCUGCAUAUGGCAUAUAAAUACAUGAUACACCGGCAUUUUAAAAAAAUGAGAAGCAUAUUGAAAGAUGAGAGGUGUUGGAACAGAAAAUAUAAUGGGUGCUACCGAGGGAGAAAGGGUCUUGUUAAUAUACAUGUACUUAUAUCAAAUUUUGGAUUCUGUUUGGACUGGAAGUUUUAUUAUUGUGACUGAAUUAACAAGAGUUCCCAAACAUGCUUUUUCUUUUUAAGUGCUAAGGCUGUUUUACAUACAUUUACAUGCUAAUUUUUUCUUUUUUAAUUACUCUGUGUUUUUUUAUAAGCACUAGUUCCCAAUACUGUUCAUGAAAGCAAGACUUUAGAACAGUGGGUCUCAACCUUCCUAAUGCCGCGACCCUUUAAUACAGUUCCUCAUGUUGUGGUGACCCCCAACCAUAAAAUUAUUCCUAAAACCAUUGAAAAUAUGUGUUUUCCGAUGGUCUUAGGGGACCCCUGUGAAAGGGUCGUUCGACCCCCAAAGGGGUCCCGACCCACAGGUUGAGAACCACUGUUUUAGAAGACUACUGUUUGAGAGAUUAUCAGAGGUAAGAUACAAGAAGUAGGGUUACUAGAUUUGGGCUGCCCUUAGAUAUCAGCACAGAGAAAACUUGUUGCUUCUAUCUUGGGGUUCUCUGGAUUCUUGCAGCCCAGAUCAGAUAGCUAGUUCUAGGUUAAUCUGUAUAAAUUUAGUGAGAUUAUUAUAUGUACAAAAGUAGAAAGAUUCGGCAUUAUACACAAUGGAGGAAUGGUUGAUGAAGAUAAUGGAAUUUGUGGAGAUAGCUAAAUUACCUUCCUUGAUUACAGAGGAAACAAUAUGUUUAUUGCUGACUAGAAACCCCCUAUAGACAUUUUACUCAAAUGGGGAAAAAAUGAACAUAUGAUUUAUAGUUUUGAUGAUUAGAAAAAAGAGGUAAUGAGAGUUUUUUUUCUUUUUGUAACUAAAGAAUAAGAGAUUAUUCUGCAAUUGUACUUAAAAUUGGAAGUUUUAUUUCUUUCCAUUCUUUCUUUUUGCAUUUUUUGUCUUCCUUCUUUCCUCUUUUCCUUUCUUUUCUACUUUUAUAAAUUUUUAUCUUCAAAAUUUUAAAACUCUUGAUUCAUAUAUUUUACCUCCCUAUUUAGAGUUUCCACAGAUGUAACCUGGGUCUUUCUGCAUUUAAACAUGGGACUUCUUUCGAACUAUAAGCCUUUCUGAUGAUCAGCCAUAUUGUGCCUGUGCUGUGGCAAAGUAGAGAGUUUGGUCCUCUGCACAGUGUCUCCCCCCCCCCCCCCCAGAUAGUCUUAAACAUCACAAUUGGUGAUGGGGAUGUGACAAACUGUUUUCUACUCUAUCAACAUCAUUGGAUAAAAUGCUGAUAGACCUACUCCUUUGCCCCUCCCCCCACAAAAGAAAGGACACAGCUGCCAAUUACAGUGAGAUUUGUAUAAUUAUACUGUUCUUUGUGUUGCAUGCUAGAGAAGUAUGUGUUCUGGGAGGCCUCAUCCUCCCUCACCAAUCUGCCAUAUGGAGGCAACAGUCACAUAGUUUAGAAGAUUGUUUUAAGAAUUGCUAAGUGUUUUAUGCCUAUUGGUUGAGAAGAUUGGUGCUUUCUAACAAUUGAUGAGCUUGCAUACAAAGUUACUGUGCAGUGUGUAGUUACUGUACACCAAGCUGCUAGACUAGAAUUCUUCUCCCAAAAAUAGGAACUUGUUUGCACAUAAUGCUGAACAAUGAUUAAUGCUUACAAAACAAACGUCUGCAAAUCUUUGUAUUGUACUUUUUCAUUUUUUCCUUUAAGUUGCAAAAUACGCAACAACAGCCUCAGAAGUAUUCAAAUUUAUUUUUUAUUGUUCUUUUAUGGGUCAUUUAAAUGUAACACAUCCAGAGUUAUUUGUGAAACAAACCUUGUCUUUGAAAAAAAAAAACAAUUUUAGUAUUCAAGAGCUACAAUAAGCUGUGCUUAAUCAUAUGUCCAUAUGUCAUUUUAACUAUAAAUUGUAGACUAAUGUUAUAUGGAAACUUCAGUUUUCUACUUUCAGAUAUUUUUUCCCCCAUGUUAAAGCAUUUGAUCGUAAGAACUCCCACUUGCUAAUUGAGUAGGACUAUGCAGAAACUACAUUUUCGAAUGUUCCAUUCUAACCCUCCAAUUCCAUUCUAAGCAUUUUCUAGUUCGAGAAUUCUGUGAUGAAACUUCCCUAGAUUUCCCUGUGAGAAUUAGGCCUUUGUGUAAUCUAAUCCUUUUUAAAGCCAUCAAAACAUGUGGCUGUCAACAUGUUUUGGUUUGUUUCCCUGAGUAAAUAUGUUACGUAAAAAUAAUCUCACUGCUUGUCAACUUGGUUUAGUAUUACAACUUUUCUCCAUCUGAUCUAUGUACGGUUUAAUAAUUGUCAUAUUUCCAACUACUUGUAUUAAGAAAAGCCCUUCCCAAUAUCUUUAUUUUUCUCUGGUUGGUUUUCUGUUAGAUGAAUUCAUGCAUAGACAUAUGGAUGUAUUCAAGCGCUUAUGCCUGAAGGAAAGGUGGAACUCUACAUGGUAUUCUAAAGAUAGCUGUUUUGCAGAUCUAUAUCACAGCUAUUAUUAUUAACCUAAAACAAGUCAGCCCUUUUUCCUAGACCUACAGCAGAAAAGUGGGAUAAUGAAGGAAGACAAAGCAUACCAAUCCAGAUCUGGAUUUGUUUCAAGCGUAUAAAUGGACUUUCAAGCAUAUAAAGAACUGAAGAUCCUGAAGGAUGGUCAAUUUUCAAUUUUUGUUUCAUUCACUGUAUACUUUUUGAACUGGUGUGUUGUCUGUGAAGCACACAUUUAAUCCUUUUUCAUAGAAUUACGGGCAUUUUUGUUUUCCCUCCUAGUGUAAAAAUAUUAUUUGGUAUUUAUAAAUCGACAUAAUAUUGCUCCUUUACCCCUAUUUGUGAACAGCUAUUGGUGUUUUGUCUUUUUUACAGACUCCUCAAUUUCUGGUUCAUAUUGUUGAAAGUCAAGAUUGUGGGAAACUCUUGUCAAUUUCACUUAUACAUGGAGGAACCAAAAUUUAGUAAUUAAAUUGAUAUGCUUGUCUUCUAAGCUUGUCUCUUCUGGAAGCCUGGAGGGAGAGAGGUGGAUGAUAGUAAUCCUUCUCAGAGGUCACUGGGGACUUGAAACUACCAGGGACUUACAUAAAUAAAUCAAAGUGGAUGCUGCCUAUUUUGUAUCAUCAUCUACUGUAAUGACUGAUGGCUAUCCAAAAUGUACAGUGCAGCCUCCAGAAAUUCAAAUUGCACAUCCCUGCUGUAAGCCAGGUGAAAUUAUCCCAUAGCACAAUAGGUGAACUUGGUUACUGUAGCCAAUGUAGUUAUUGUGAGUCACUGGACCCUGUUCUCCACCGUCCAAAUUAAAACAGUGGGGAAGUUUUUAUUUAUGAUGUAUUUAAAAUAAGCAAAGGGAUGAUAAUUGCAACUGUGCAUUAAAUGAGGUGGGAUAGGAUUCCUAAUGAUUGACAUUCUUACAAACCUAUAUAUGAUUUCAGCCUGGACAUUUUGUUUUUUGAGUUCCCUGUAAAAUGGAGUCUAAAAUAAUAAGGCUGACUAUAUUAGACCUUUCUUUUUUUUGCUUUGUACCUUUAAUGUAUUAAGUGAGUGCAUGUGGUGCUUUGUUGUGCUUUAAUUAGGUUUGGAAAGAAAUUUGUACAAUCUAGGUAAACGCAUGAAACAAAGCCUAAUAGUUUUCUCAUUUGUUCCUUAUUUUGCAUCACAGUUUUCCACUCAAAUAGUGAGCACACCAAUGUGUGCAUACAUUAGAGAAAAUGCUUACAAAACCAUGUAUAAUAAAUCAAAUUGCAUAUAAAAACAUGUGGCUUAAAAGAAAACUAUUCAUCAAUAUGCCAAUUUUCCUGCUGGAAUUUUGUUAAGUAAUUUGGAAUUGGCUGUAGAAAUUGAAUGAAAUAAAAUUGUGGCUCUUAAGAAAUGAAAAUUGUAGAAAAUAAAGCCAUCUGACUUAGCUGUACUGAACAGAUUGCAUGGUAUUAUUAACUAGAACCAUUUAUAUUACCUUUGGAUUGUUCUUGUAAAUUUUGCAAAUAAGAGCAAUAUAUUUUAAAAUUACACUGGCAUUAAAGUUCCAGUUCUUUGCCAUGAAUUUUAGAUAUUAAAUAUUUAUCAUAACAUUUAACAAUAUUUAUAAAUGUUCUUUGUGGCUGAGAGAGACAAAUUAAGAAAAGAACUGGAGUGAUUAAAAGUUUUGUUUUGUAUUUCUGCAAUGAAAGUGAAUAUAAACAUUCAGAAGCUAAUAACUGUUCUGCCCUUGGGGACAUGCAUAACUUUGUUUUGGGGCCAGGUGGAAUGGGGAAAAAUCAAUAAUUUUUUUACCAUAAAUAUUGAUUAUUUUAGAAAUCAUAAGAUGAUUUCUAGUGAAGUGAAGAUAAUGAUGCUAAAUUGUUUAUAAAAUGUAUGUGAGGUGAUCUGAGAUGACCAAAGAACAGCAGAUCCUGUUAUAAAUAUUCAUGGAUUUGAGUCAGAAUGUAAUCCAAUUUUUUUUUAUUCCUAUUUUUACCAUCACUAUUCUCCUCCCAUGGAAUCGGUCCUCCUAUGUCAAAUUAAAAAUCUGUUAAUGUUACGGGGAUAUUAAAACAUCCUUAAACUUUGAAAGGCAAGAAGGCAUUAGGCUCAUAGACGGGAUUUUUUCCACCCUUUUAUGGAAUCUUAACGUGCUUUUAGUUUUACCUCAUUUUCUACAUUAGUUUGCGGUAUAGUUUCUGAUAUUCCUAAACCACAUUGUUUCCUAUUUCCUAUAUAUUGUUUACCACAAGUGGUUUUCAAACUAUAAUAGUUGAAAUAUAUUUAACGGGCUGUACACAUUUUUGCUCACACUGGUGGUUUUACUUUGAAGUGGUCAUUAUCUCAAGGAAGAAUUAACGAUUAAGAACAUUAUAACUAUUCAGGAUGAUUCUGUGCUGCUAAUUACAUAAUUAAAGGCUGUUAUAUUAGGACUGGAAGCAGAAUGGAAGAGAGAAAAUUAUUUGCUUUGGACUACAUAAAAAACCAAAAAAAUAAUAUAUUGUAUUCUUCAAGUGACUUUGCCUCAGUUAUCCUAUAACACUAGUUUGAAAUAAUCCACUCUGAAAAUUUAUUGUGAGUAGAGCUGAUAGUUAUUGUUUUGAAUAAGGGCUAUAUUAUAGAAAUAA